rnacentral:tRNA from 1 species
GGGAAAGUGGCGGAACGGCAGACGCUGCGGACUUAAAAUCCGCUCCGGGUGACCGGGUGAGGGUUCGAGUCCCUCCUUUCCCACCA